rnacentral:rRNA from 1 species
AGCGAACGCUGGCGGCAGGCCUAACACAUGCGAGUCGAACGAACCUUUCGGGGUUAGUGGCGGACGGGUGAGUAACACGUGGGAACGUGCCUUUAGGUUCGGAAUAACUCAGGGAAACUUGUGCUAAUACCGAAUGUGCCCUUCGGGGGAAAGAUUUAUCGCCUUUAGAGCGGCCCGCGUCUGAUUAGCUAGUUGGUUGAGGUAAUGGCUCACCAAGGCGACGAUCAGUAGCUGGUCUGAGAGGAUGAUCAGCCACAUUGGGACUGAGACACGGCCCAAACUCCUACGGGAGGCAGCAGUGGGGAAUCUUGCGCAAUGGGCGAAAGCCUGACGCAGCCAUGCCGCGUGAAUGAUGAAGGUCUUAGGAUUGUAAAAUUCUUUCACCGGGGACGAUAAUGACGGUACCCGGAGAAGAAGCCCCGGCCAACUUCGUG